AGAGAGAAAAUAUUAAUAACUAAAUUGGUGGGGUGCGCCAGCAAUUGCUAUAGUGCAACGCAAGAGCGACACGCGAGAGACCCAAUAGCAAGCUACUGUGGUGGACUCUCCCCCUCAAGAAAUAAAUUUAAUAUCGUGUGGACCAUUGGCCCACAUAUCAGAUAUUAAACUGAUAAGAACAGAUACUACACUUGAUCUUAGCCAAAAGGCCGAGAAAGGUAUGCUUUUUCCUAUUGCUGGCUUUGCUUUUUAUAUUACACAUUUCCUCUGUUUCGUUCUUGGCUCCCUGAUGUGGGACUUACAGCACUGCACAAAACUUAGCCGACUUUCCCUUAUUAUCUUCACCUUUGAAUUUCUUACUCUCAUGUUCUUUCUUUUAUUUCCUUUGAAUUUCUUACUGUGGUAGUUCACUUCUUCCUAUUAGCAUCAAUCAAUUAAUAUUAUCAUUCAGGAAGCUAUUAACAUCCCAAGUAUUAUCAAACAGUUAGUUCCCUUAACUCACCUUUUUCUUUCUUUCAAUUCCUGUAACAUCAUUAACCCAAAUAUUUUUGUAUCACCAUGGGCUGCUUAUCAUGCAUGCAUCGCCUCACUACUGCUCUUUUCUCACGCCUAUGUAUUUUUAACCACAUCAAAUUAUUCUUUCUAUUCAAAAUCAACUUAAUUUUGUUUAAAUUAAUUAUUCUUUCAAUCCAAAAUCAACUUAAUAUUCUUCAAAUUAUUAUUUCUAUUCAAAAUCAACUUAAUAUUCUGUCACUAGUGCAAAAUGGAGAUUAAUAUAUUUUCAUUUUUAAAUGCAUGGUUUUAGUUAUUGAAUUAAAUUUUAUUUAUUUAUUUAGUCAAUAGAUAAAACAAUUCAGUAAUAAAUUGUUAAAACAAAUAAUUUGAUUUUAAUUCAUUAAUUAAGUCAAUACAUCUUAAUUGAUAAAAACAAAUAAUGAUUAAAACCCUCAUACGAGAAAUCGUUGCAGUGAAAAUCUUCGAAACCCAAAUACGAAACCUUCGAAAUCCAUCAUCAUCGUGAGAAAUCGUUGCAGCGAAAAUGAACGGGGAAGCCGAUCAAUAGCAUCACUUAUCACUUUCACUAAGAACCAUUUCUCCCUUUUCCCAUUAUGACAACUCGGGUUUCACUCAUUCUUAAUUUCUUCACUAUUUUACUCAGGUUUCACUUCUUCUUGCUUUUGGUUUCUUAUAUCAAAGUCUCAUUCCUCUUUGAUGGUGAGUUUUUGGGACAACUCAGAUGUAUCUUUUCUAGGACAUGAUCUUUAAUGUAUUCUGAGUUUUUUGGGUUGUUUUUUGUUGUAGAUAUGACUACGUUAUUUUGUAUAUUCUAUCUACUUUGUAAUAUUUGGAUAAUUGUUACUUUGAAUAUGUUUAUGAUGUCAAAGCAUUAUGUUUAUGAUCUUAUUGAUUACCAUUGUUGAUAUGUAUUUGGUGGUUAUAUUUGGCUAUAUUUUAUCUCUUUUGCAACUAGAUGGAAGUGAUCAUUUAGAGCCUUUAAGAAAUCGUCUCUCUCUCUGAGGGUUAUGAGCUACAAACUGCUAAAUUGGUGAAAGCCUCUGCAAAAAAUGUUGAUGAAGUUGUUAAAGAACUUCUUGAUGCCAAUCAGUAAGGUUCAUCAAACAUGCAUUGCAAGAGAGAUUAUAUCAUUACUAGAUCAUCCUUUUCUUCCAACAUUCUACACCUCAUUUCAGAUUUUUCUUGUGGAACAAAUAAAUCAAGUAAAAGUUUUUUUUUUGUUUAUUUUGAUUGUUAGAAUGAACUUAAAGCUGUGAUUUUGAAGAACUGCAGGACAAAGUCAGGUAUUAUUGUGAGGAAAGGCCUGACAUUUUUUUUGCUGUCUGAUUGUGUGGAAAAGCCUGGGGAGGGUAAAGUCAAUAGGACAUAAAGAUGGAACUGAUUUGGGAUCUAUUGUUGAUGGAAAAAUGGAGUUUACGAAUACAAAAUCAAAAUUCCAUGUUGUUGUUACUGCAACCGAUGCUGCUUACAGUCAAUGGGAAUGUAUGAUUAUGUAUUAUUGGUAUAAAAAGGCGAAGGUUGUGCUUGGAUCGAGGAUGUUAUUUUGGUGAAUUCUUGAUCUAAUAUCUAGUUUACCGAUCCUGACAUAAAGAACAAUACGAGGGAAUAAUGAUUUUCUUAUGAGAAGGAAUCAAAUUUGAUAUCUAAGACUUGCAACACUCACACACACUAUGCAACAACCAUUUGUGCUUUGACAUUAGAGAUUGUGAUUUGACACAAAAUCAAAUACAUGAUUUUAGUGUUGAAUUAUCAUAAUUUUUCUAAGUUAUUUUGUUUACUUUUUCAAGACUGAAAUUAUUCAAGAAUCCAACUUGUCCAAAUUCAAAUCAUAA